UUUUCUUCUUCUUAAUUAUUUUUUUUUCUUUUCGUUACAUGAAAGCCGGCCCGGACGCCUACUCCUGCCACACAAUCAUAAAAUAUAUAAUAUAAGAGAUACGACGACGACGCCUUUCUUUUUUAUGAGUCGUUGUUGUUUUUGUGUAAAGGCGCACCCGCACGCUCUCUCCCCCUUCUUCUUGGUACACACUGCAGUAUGUUUACCUUCAAUGAAUUUUUUACUAAAUCAAUUAGAGUUGCUCCCUCUUUUCUUCAAACUCAAAUCCACCACCAACACCACUAAAAAAACACGCGUCCGCUCGUUCAUUUAUUAAUGUCUACACAUUAUGUAGUACAUGUUGUAUUUAGAGGAUCUUAAAAAACUCGGUUUUUUAAAAUAAUCACAACAACUACAGACGCGGGCGCGCUUUUUUCUUUUUGAGGAACGACAUACCGGGUCAUUUUUUUAUUAUUGUUGUUGUUGUUUUUAUUAUUAACUCCCCUCUCUCUUCUCUUCUCUUUUCAACCUGGGGAUGAAGUAGAUUCGAAGUUUGGAUAUUAUUUUAUUUAUUAUACAACUCAUAAUAUGAUUGGGGAAGAGAGGGGACUUGUAGGGGUUGUUGGGUCUCUGCUGAUAUGGAAACCUACUAUUUUGAAGGGGGUUUAAAUGUUUCUUUAGUGCGGAUAGAGUCCUAAAGGAUUCUGAUAUAUCCAGGGGUUUGUUUCUAAGAUGCUCUUGAAAUUGGUGAUAUUAUUAAUAUAGCUUAGUUACUGAUUGCAGGUAGAAGACAAUAAUAAAAACAAAAAUGCAUACCAGCACAGCAAAGAUUUUCUCUUCUUUUUCUCUUGUUUUCUUGUAUUUUCUUCAUCUUUUAGAGAGAGUUCUGGGUGUUUUGAACGUUGAUUGCUUAAAUUAGAGUCAGGGAUGUGGAGUCGUAAGGUCGUAGUUGGUGCCUUUAUUGGUGGAGUCGAAGUUGGAAGAUUUAUACCGAAUCCGGCUACAUAAAUGAUUAUAAUUGAAAUAAAACAUAUUUAUGAUCUAAGGCUUA
rnacentral:lncRNA from 1 species